rnacentral:rRNA from 1 species
AUGGCCGCCGCCGCAUCCCACGAUGUUGAGUUGCUAGACCUCGUGAGCUUCGGGCACACGCUCCUCCACCAUGGCCUCGUCAUCGCCGACGCCGACCACGACUCCGCGGACGUCGACACGUUCAAGCUCCUCCUCGCCGACAACACCGUCGUGUACAAGAACGCCGGCGACCUCAGGGUGGUCGACAGGACCUACCUGCGCCCCGGCGACGUGGUCGGCUCUGCGUCCGACGAUGAUGGCCAGCUCGGCGUCAUCACCGGCGUCACCACCGUGCUUGACCUGGCCAAGCACGACAGGGAGACACAUAUCAUCACGGGCGUGUCCCCGUCUACCCUCAGGCGCGUAAGGAGCUUCAACCUCAGCGACUUCGUCGUGUCGGGGCCGUGGCUCGGCCAGGUCGUGGAGGUGUCCAUCGACGUGGACGUGCUGUUUGAUGACGGGGCGGUCUGUAGGGUCAGCAACGCAGACUCCAAGAAUCUACAACUAGUGGAUGACACCGGCGCCGGCAACAACACCAUGUAUCGCCAUCAAAUGAACACUCUCUUCAAUCCCGGGGAGCACGUCGCCGAACCUGACCCAUUCUCCGUCUUCAACCCCUGGGAGCGCCGACUCUAA